rnacentral:rRNA from 1 species
UACAGAGGGGGCUAGCGUUAUUCGGAAUUAUUGGGCGUAAAGGGCGCGUAGGCGGCCAUGCGUGUCUUCCGUGAAAUCCCUCGGCUUAACUGAGGACGUGCGGAAGAAACUGCAAGGCUCGAGUCCGGGAGAGGGGGGUGGAAUUCCCAGUGUAGCGGUGAAAUGCGUAGAUAUUGGGAGGAACACCGGUGGCCGAAGGCGGCCCCCUGGACCGGUACUGACGCUGAGGCGCGAAAGCGGUGGGUAGCAAACGGG